UACGUAGGUGGCAAGCGUUGUCCGGAAUUACUGGGCGUAAAGCGUGCGCAGGCGGUUUUGUAAGUCUGUCGUGAAAUCCCCGGGCUCAACCUGGGAAUUGCGAUGGAGACUGCAAGGCUAGAAUCUGGCAGAGGGGGGUAGAAUUCCACGUGUAGCAGUGAAAUGCGUAGAGAUGUGGAGGAACACCGAUGGCGAAGGCAGCCCCCUGGGUCAAGAUUGACGCUCAUGCACGAAAGCGUGGGGAGCAAACAGG
rnacentral:rRNA from 1 species